UUCCCUUCGGGGGUCUGGCGUGCCAGGUCAUGCAUGACCUGCCCGCUGAAUGAUUCUUCCACUGUGACACUUAUCGAAGCCUAUGCGCCCCUGCAAAGGGGUUCUGCCGCGACUGAAAAGAAUGGUAAAAAUGCAAGUCAGCGCUGGAGCUGGCAACACAAUCGAAAUGCGGGGAUCUCCUAAAGCUCGGUGGUACCAACUGGCAGUGGAAACGCUCCCAGGGCCCGUGUUAACUACACGGGGUACGGUCACAACCCAUCGAGAUUCUGCAAUGGACAAUCCGCAGCAGAGCCCCUAACGGCCCCCCCAGUGGUGCCUACGGGGAGUGUUCACAGACUAAGUGAUUGUGGGCCACACCCCAAGGUGUGGUCUAAGAUAUAGUCGGGCCCCUUCCGAAAGGUGGGGGGUAAGUUUAUAGCUGUCACGACCGCCUGAAUCUUGGUUAGGCGGGGUGACGUGAACCCCAAACCGUUCCGUAGGUGAACCUGCGGAAGGAUCAUUACAGAGCUCAUGCCCGAAAGGGUAGACCUCCCACCCUUGCGUAUUCAUACUUUGUUGCUUUGGCGGAGCGGCCACCGGCUGGUGUGCCCCCCGCCAGAGGACCCAUAACACGCUGAAUAUUAGUGUCGUCUGAGUACUAUAUAAUCGUUAAAACUUUCAACAACGGAUCUCUUGGUUCUGGCAUCGAUGAAGAACGCAGCGAAAUGCGAUAAGUAAUGUGAAUUGCAGAAUUCAGUGAAUCAUCGAAUCUUUGAACGCACAUUGCGCCCCUUGGUAUUCCGGGGGGCAUGCCUGUUCGAGCGUCAUUUUCACCACUCAAGCCUGGCUUGGUGUUGGGCCCUGCUGGCAACGGCAGGCCUUAAAGACAGUGGCGGUGCCCUGAGGCCCUGAGCGUAGUACAUCUCUCGCUACAGGCCCUGAGGGUUCCCGGCCAGCAACCCCAAUUUUUCUUAGGUGACCUCGAU
rnacentral:sRNA from 1 species